rnacentral:rRNA from 1 species
GGUAGCCGUUAAUAGCGGCUAUCUAUGAUGUUACCCACAGAAUAAGCACCGGCAAACUUCGUGCCAGCAGCCGCGGUAAUACGAAGGGUGCGAGCGUUAAUCGGAAUUACUGGGCGUAAAGAGCACGUAGGCGGUUUGAUAAGCGGAAUGUGAAAUCCCCGGGCUUAACCUGGGAACUGCAUUCCGAACUGUCAGGCUAGAGUAUGAUAGAGGUGAGCGGAAUUUCCUGUGUAGCGGUGAAAUGCGUAGAUAUAGGAAGGAACAUCAGUUGCGAAGGCGGCUCACUGGAUCAAUACUGACGCUGAGGUGCGAAAGCGUGGGUAGCGAACAGGAUUAGAUACCCUGGUAGUCCACGCCGUAAACGAUGUCUACUAGCCGUUAGGGUACUUGAUACCCUAGUGGCGCAGCUAACGCGGUAAGUAGACCGCCUGGGGAGUACGGCCGCAAGGUUAAAACUCAAAUGAAUUGACGGGGGCCCGCACAAGCGGUGGAGUAUGUGGUUUAAUUCGACGCAACGCGAAGAACCUUACCAGGCCUUGACAUCCUCGGAACUUUCUAGAGAUAGAUUGGUGCCGCAAGGAGCCGAGAGACAGGUGCUGCAUGGCUGUCGUCAGCUCGUGUCGUGAGAUGUUGGGUUAAGUCCCGUAACGAGCGCAACCCUUGUCCUUAGUUGCCAACAGGUUAUGCUGGGAACUCUAAGGAGACUGCCGGUGACAAACCGGAGGAAGGUGGGGAUGACGUCAAGUCAUCAUGGCCCUUACGGCCUGGGCUACACACGUACUACAAUGGAGCGUACAGAGGGCUGCAAACCCGCGAGGGGGAGCCAAUCCCACAAAACGCUUCGUAGUCAGGAUUGGAGUCUGCAACUCGACUCCAUGAAUUCGGAAUCGCUAGUAAUCGCAAAUCAGAAUGUUGCGGUGAAUACGUUCCCGGGCCUUGUACACACCGCCCGUCACACCAUGGGAGUGGGUUGCAAAAGAAGUAGUUAGCCUAACCGCAAGGAAGGCGAUUACCACUUUGUGAUUCAUGACUGGGGUGAAGUCGUA